AUGCAGCUACUCAGCAUCUGGGUUGUGUGCGGAGCAAUUCUAACAGAGCUGAGUCUUGGAGAUUCUGUCACUCAGUCACACUCCUCAGUUGUUCAGAAAGAUGGAAGUGUGGCGUCUCUAAGCUGUACCUAUGACACGUCAUGGACCAGCUAUACAUUAUACUGGUACCGACAGCACCCAGGCUCACGGCCCGAAUACAUACUCUUGAAAACUAAUGGUGGUGGUACGGAUAAAGCAGAUUUUGCUCAAAGUCGCUUCUCUGCAGGGCUUCAGACCUGGAGAACAUCCAUCAGUCUGACGAUCAUCAGACUAGAGCUGACUGACACAGCCAUGUAUUACUGUGCUAUCAGGGGCACAGUGAUGAUAAACAGUAUCUUCCCCUUACAAGAACUGCCUUGA